UUACUCUGAUUUCUCUUCAGAUCGUAUAAAUCUUUCGCCUUUUACUAAAGAUUUCCGUGGAGAGGAUCACUAAGAGUUAUACUCAAUUUUUUGAUGCCCUGCUUUAUUGCGGGGCU
rnacentral:snRNA from 1 species